rnacentral:lncRNA from 1 species
AAACCAAUCAUAGACAGACUUAGUUCAUCUUGAUUAGUUAUUUAGACUAAAUUGCCGCACAAGAAUAGGAAACACCAAAAGUGCAGAACUAUUUUUCUUUUCGUUGUUUGAUUAGAGAUUUAUUUUUCUUUUACAUUAUAGAUUUGUUGCCUCUGGUCUCAGGCUUCUGAAUGGAUUGGAAAAUAUGAGGCCACCUAAAUGUAUAUCUUUUUGUGCACCGAGAAGUUUAUUUUGGCUUUGUUCUAAAAUAAAACUUGGAAGUACUAAUUAACAGGAACCCGGUCAUACCUUGAAGAGGAAACCCAGUCACAGACAUACUUACUUCAUCUUGAUUAGUUGUUUGGACUAAAUUGCCGCACAAGAAUAGAAAACACCAGAAGUGCAUAAUUAUUUUUCUUUUCGUUGUUUGAUGAGAGCUUUAUUUUUCUUUUACAUUACAGGUUUGUUGCCUCUGGUCUCAGGCUUUCGAAUGGAUUGUAACAUACGAGGUCACUAGAUUACCCUAAUAUGUUUGAUGCCUGAGGAGCUCUGUUAGGUCUCUUGAUUUUUUUCCUCUGCCCCCCAGUCUUUCCUUGCUCUUUUGCUCUGCAAAU